rnacentral:rRNA from 1 species
CCUACGGGUGGCAGCAGUGAGGAAUAUUGGUCAAUGGACGAGAGUCUGAACCAGCCAAGUAGCGUGAAGGAUGACUGCCCUCUGGGUUGUAAACUUCUUUUAUAUGGGAAUAAAAUGUUCCACGUGUGGGAUUUUGUAUGUACCAUAUGAAUAAGGAUCGGCUAACUCCGUGCCAGCAGCCGCGGUAAUACGGAGGAUCCGAGCGUUAUCCGGAUGUAUUGGGUUUAAAGGGAGCGUAGGUGGAUUGGUAAGUCAGUUGGGAAAGUUUGCGGCUCAACUGUAAAAUUGCAGUUGAAACUGGCAGUCUUGAGUACAGUAGAGGUGGGCGGAAUUCGUGGUGUAGCGGUGAAAUGCUUAGAUAUCAAGAAGAACUCCGAUUGCGAAGGCAGCCCACUGGAAUGCAACUGACACUGAGGCUCGAAAGUGUGGGUAUCAAACAGGAUUAGAUACCCUGGUAGUC